rnacentral:rRNA from 1 species
CAGUCGCCGCGGGAAAACGAAGGGGGCUAGCGUUGUUCGGAUUUACUGGGCGUAAAGCGCACGUAGGCGGAUCGAUCAGUCAGGGGUGAAAUCCCAGAGCUCAACUCUGGAACUGCCUUUGAUACUGUCGAUCUGGAGUAUGGAAGAGGUGAGUGGAAUUCCGAGUGUAGAGGUGAAAUUCGUAGAUAUUCGGAGGAACACCAGUGGCGAAGGCGGCUCACUGGUCCAUUACUGACGCUGAGGUGCGAAAGCGUGGGGAGCAAACAGGAUUAGAUACCCGGGUAGUCCCUGUCUCUUAUAA